AGACCAGCCAGUUAAACUGCUUACCUGAAUGUGUUUCUGCAGAAAUUUUUAAAAACCUGGCAAUAGUAAAGCCAUAUCACAAGCUUUAAGGACACUGAAGUCCUUAAGGUCUCUGAAAAUGGCUCUAACA